rnacentral:rRNA from 1 species
CCCCUAGAUGUUCUGGGCCGCACGCGCGCUACACUGAACAGUUCAACAAGUCUUAACCUUGGCCGAUAGGUCUGGGUAAUCUUUGAACGCUGUUCGUGAUUGGGAUAGACCUUUGCAAUUAUGGGUCUUCAACGAGGAAUUCCUAGUAAACGCAAGUCAUCAGCUUGCAUUGAUUACGUCCCUGCCCUUUGUACACACCGCCCGUCGCACCUACCGAUUGAAUGGUCCGGUGAAAUCUCGGGACGGCGGCUUGGUCGCUUGCGUCCGACUGCUGAAACUUGAUUAAACCAUAUCAUUCAGAGGAAGGUGAAGUCGUNACA